rnacentral:rRNA from 1 species
UACGAAGGGUGCAAGCGUUACUCGGAAUUACUGGGCGUAAAGCGCACGUAGGCGGAUUUUUAAGUCAGGGGUGAAAUCCCGAGGCUCAACCUCGGAACUGCCUUUGAUACUGGAGAUCUUGAGUCCGGAAGAGGUAAGUGGAACUGCGAGUGUAGAGGUGAAAUUCGUAGAUAUUCGCAAGAACACCAGUGGCGAAGGCGGCUUACUGGUCCGGAACUGACGCUGAGGUGCGAAAGCGUGGGGAGCAAACAGG